rnacentral:rRNA from 1 species
GAAGUCAGACCGUAAGGACUGGUGGAGCGCUUAGAAGUGAGAAUGCCGGUAUGAGUAGCGAAAGACAAGUGAGAAUCUUGUCCACCGAAUGCCUAAGGUUUCCUGAGGAAGGCUCGUCCGCUCAGGGUUAGUCGGGACCUAAGCCGAGGCUGAAAAGCGUAGGCGAUGGCCAACAGGUUGAUAUUCCUGUACCACCUCCCCGCCGUUUGAGUAAUGGGGGGACGCAGUAGGAUAGGGUAAGCGCGCUGCUGGAUAUGCGCGUUCAAGCAGUUAGGCUGAUGAGUAGGCAAAUCCGCUCAUCAUAAAGGCUGAGCUGUGAUGACGAGGGAAUUAUAGUACCGAAGUUCCUGAUUCCACACUGCCAAGAAAAGCCUCUAGCGAGGCGGGAGGUGCCCGUACCGCAAACCGACACAGGUAGGCGAGGAGAGAAUCCUAAGGUGAUCGAGAGAACUCUCGUUAAGGAACUCGGCAAAAUGACCCCGUAACUUCGGGAGAAGGGGUGCUCUGGUAGGGUGUAUAGCCCGAGAGAGCCGCAGUGAAUAGGCCCAGGCGACUGUUUAGCAAAAACACAGGUCUCUGCGAAGCCGCAAGGCGAAGUAUAGGGGCUGACGCCUGCCCGGUGCUGGAAGGUUAAGAGGAGGGGUUAUCCUUUGGGAGAAGCUCUGAAUCGAAGCCCCAGUAAACGGCGGCCGUAACUAUAACGGUCCUAAGGUAGCGAAAUUCCUUGUCGGGUAAGUUCCGACCCGCACGAAAGGCGUAACGAUCUGGGCACUGUCUCAACGAGAGACUCGGUGAAAUUAUAGUACCUGUGAAGAUGCAGGUUACCCGCGACAGGACGGAAAGACCCCGUGGAGCUUUACUGUAGCCUGAUAUUGAAUUUUGGUACAGCUUGUACAGGAUAGGUAGGAGCCUGAGAAGCCGGAGCGCUAGCUUCGGUGGAGGCGUCGGUGGGAUACUACCCUGGCUGUAUUGAAAUUCUAACCCGCGGCCCUGAUCGGGCCGGGAGACAGUGUCAGGUGGGCAGUUUGACUGGGGCGGUCGCCUCCUAAAAUGUAACGGAGGCGCCCAAAGGUUCCCUCAGAAUGGUUGGAAAUCAUUCGUAGAGUGUAAAGGCACAAGGGAGCUUGACUGCGAGACCUACAAGUCGAGCAGGGACGAAAGUCGGGCUUAGUGAUCCGGUGGUUCCGCAUGGAAGGGCCAUCGCUCAACGGAUAAAAGCUACCCCGGGGAUAACAGGCUUAUCUCCCCCAAGAGUCCACAUCGACGGGGAGGUUUGGCACCUCGAUGUCGGCUCAUCGCAUCCUGGGGCUGUAGUCGGUCCCAAGGGUUGGGCUGUUCGCCCAUUAAAGCGGUACGCGAGCUGGGUUCAGAACGUCGUGAGACAGUUCGGUCCCUAUCCGUCGUGGGCGUAGGAAAUUUGAGAGGAGCUGUCCUUAGUACGAGAGGACCGGGAUGGACACACCGCUGGUGUACCAGUUGUCUUGCCAAAGGCAUCGCUGGGUAGCUAUGUGUGGACGGGAUAAGUGCUGAAAGCAUCUAAGCAUGAAGCCCCCCUCAAGAUGAGAUUUCCCAUAGCGCAAGCUAGUAAGAUCCCUGAAAGAUGAUCAGGUUGAUAGGUCAGAGGUGGAAGCGUGGCGACAUGUGUAGCUGACUGAUACUAAUCGAUCGAGGACUUAACC